GAUGAACGCUGGCGGCGUGCCUAAUACAUGCAAGUCGAGCGAACAGACGAGGAGCUUGCUCCUCUGACGUUAGCGGCGGACGGGUGAGUAACACGUGGAUAACCUACCUAUAAGACUGGGAUAACUUCGGGAAACCGGAGCUAAUACCGGAUAACAUGUUGAACCGCAUGGUUCAACAGUGAAAGACGGUCUUGCUGUCACUUAUAGAUGGAUCCGCGCCGCAUUAGCUAGUUGGUAAGGUAACGGCUUACCAAGGCAACGAUGCGUAGCCGACCUGAGAGGGUGAUCGGCCACACUGGAACUGAGACACGGUCCAGACUCCUACGGGAGGCAGCAGUAGGGAAUCUUCCGCAAUGGGCGAAAGCCUGACGGAGCAACGCCGCGUGAGUGAAGAAGGUCUUCGGAUCGUAAAACUCUGUUAUUAGGGAAGAACAAAUGUGUAAGUAACUAUGAACGUCUUGACGGUACCUAAUCAGAAAGCCACGGCUAACUACGUG
rnacentral:rRNA from 1 species